rnacentral:pre_miRNA from 1 species
AGUAAAAUCGCUGGAUCAUAAGGUAAUUCUGUGUUUAAUUUUGUAAAGAAUCACCAAAAUGUUUUCCACAGCAGCUGCACCAUUUUACAUUUCCACCUGCGAU